CCACAGAACGGAGGGAGGAGAUGCCCUGAGCUCGUCAGGAAGAAGAAGUGCAAGAACUCUAGCUGCAACGACGGGUACAAUGGCCUUGAAAGUCUUAGCCUGCGUAGGGACCUCCUCCGCCUCCAUUCCAACCCUAUCAGGCUACCGGUGAGCUGACCUAUCUACCGGAUGAAGAGUAUAUCGCUCCGGCUCUUCAAUCCUCCGUUCCCCUUACCGGGUGCUCGAGACGAAGGCGCAUACGACACAGUUGAUGUUUCUGCUCCAGCUCCUGCUCCUCCAGCUGAUUAUAAUUACGAUGAUGGUUCCCUGGUGGACUGUAAUGGGUGAAUGGGGCCCAUGGUCUCUGUACUCAUUCUUGUGGACCAGAAGCCUUACAACAGCGGUCCAGGAACGUCAUUGUGGAGCCUCGUCAUGGGGGGGCGGUAUGUGGGGACCGGUAUGAGAGGCG